AAGCGACCGACUAUAGACUGAACAUUCGGCACACGACUAAAGGAGCGCUAAUUAAUGUCUUUAAAUCAAGCUCAACCAUCAGUCACGGUGCGAGCACAUAGAAUCAUUCAAUUGGUCGGAAUCGCUUCGCCGCUGUGAAUUUGUUGACGUUGAUCUACGUAACGACGUAAUGUAAGAGCAAACGUAAAAAUUUCAAUCUUCCGAGCCUGUGCAAUGCUAUCAAAAGACACACGUACGUCCAACGAUGAAUUCUAACGACGAAAAAACAGAGAACAUGAUGGAAAUGACUUUAUACGUAUAGGAAUGGAUAAAAGAGUAAAAACGGAAGAAUGUUAGAACCAUUUUAGCAUAGUAGAAGAGAAAGGAUAUUGAUUAUAGAAAGGAGGAAAAAAUCAAAGUCGCUAUUGAGAAAGCACAAGAAGAAGCAGCGUAUAAUAGAGAAAAAUACGGUAGAAAGUAAGAAAGCGAGGAAGCGAAGCAGCAAGGAUGCAGGGGGAAGGUUAGCUAGUGCAUUGAUACUCCCCUCUCUAAGUACGUAGUCCGAACUCUCCCUCGGGGUUUCGGUGAGGUCGCAUGUGCUCGCGGUUCUCGCGGAUGUCGAAUGUCGAUAUUCGAGUGCGCGGCGCAGGCUGAGCAGUAGCAGUGUCGAGCCACUGCGCCGAGAAUCUAAAAUUAUCGGCCGGUUCAUGAGAGGGGAGGGCAGGCAUAUGCAGAGGUGGAGAAGGCGAGAGAAAGGAAGGCGGGGAGGUUGACAGAACGAUGCAGGAAAAAAGAAUAGAGAGCGAGGAAAAAAGAGAGAAGCAAAAGGAUAAGGAUGGAGAAAGAAUACGUAGCCAAGAAGAACGGCGGCGAAAAUUCUCAUGGAGAACGAAAAGAAGGGAAAAAGGGAAGAAGGUCGAUCGGACCGAGGAAGAUGCGUGGGUCGUUAUGUUCGAUGAUUAAUUUUAUUCCUUGAUAGGAAGGGACGAAUCGACGAAAGUAGAAAGAAACUUUAGAGUCAGGCUAAAAUCCAAAUAUGAAAUGACAAGGGCACGGAAUGCAAAAAAAAAGAAAAAAGAAAAAUGGAAGAUGAGAAGGUGGAUGAUA